GCAGAGAGGCAGGCCGGGGAAUAGAAUUCGCUUUUAAAGGAUGUUCAGUCACAGCAGGAAAAGUGCUCUGUGAGCUGUGUGUACACAGCCAGGCUACACAGCCAGGCCGCCGCCUUGAACCUCCGGAGCUGGCAAGCCGUGGGCAGAGUUGGUGCCACUGGUCCAUUGCUAGUGCUCAGUACCAAGAGCAUCUGCCCUAAGCUGAGACGUACUGAGCAGCUGCAGGGCGCGGCACAGGCUUGUGCACUCCCCACCCUGAAGGCCCCGCUGCAGGGGGGAAGAUGGAAAAGAUGAGACUAUCUGCUCACCUGGUAAGCCUCCUCCUGGGUGGGGACACGCCCGUGGUCAAUCACUUGGGACGGCAGGAAGUGGAACUGGAUGUCUGGGUG